AUGGAUUUAUGGUGAAGGUGUAGGCUAUAUUACAUGGAUUUAUUGUGAAGGUGUAGGCUAUAUUACAUGGAUUUAUUGUGAAGGUGUAGGCUAUAUUACAUGGAUUUAUUGUGAUGGUGUAGGCUAUAUUACAUGGAUUUAUUGUGAAGGUGUAGGCUAUAUUACAUGGAUUUAUUGUGAAGGUGUAGGCUAUAUUACAUGGAUUUAUUGUGAUGGUGUAGGCUAUAUUACAUGGAUUUAUUGUGAUGGUGUAGGCUAUAUUACAUGGAUUUAUUGUGAAGGUGUAGGCUAUAUUACAUGGAUUUAUUGUGAUGGUGUAGGCUAUAUUACAUGGAUUUAUUGUGAAGGUGUAGGCUAUAUUACAUGGAUUUAUUGUGAAGGUGUAGGCUAUAUUACAUGGAUUUAUUGUGAAGGUGUAGGCUAUAUUACAUGGAUUUAUUGUGAAGGUGUAGGCUAUAUUACAUGGAUUUAUUGUGAAGGUGUAGGCUAUAUUACAUGGAUUUAUUGUGAAGGUGUAGGCUAUAUUACAUGGAUUUAUUGUGAAGGUGUAGGCUAUAUUACAUGGAUUUAUUAGACUUUUUACAAUG